CCUCACAUCCGAUCACGUUGCCUGCGAGUUUUACGGUCCGCCAUACAUAGUGGGAGAAGAGAGGAAUCAGAGCCUUACUGUGUUUUGUAGGCUGGAGUGAGUGGAGCUGAUGUUAAGAUUGUACUUCCGUAGUUUAGAGAAUUUGAAAGAAAAAGGUAAACUCAACAGUGAUGAAAUUGAGGAAGAAGAAACUCGUUUAUCAUUUAUUCUGAGGAACAAAUGAGCUCUUGUGUCGACAAAUUAAGGAUUAUUUGCAGUGGACUCUGGAGCCAGUGAUUUUUUUUUUUUUUUUUUUUUUUUUUUUUUUUUUUUUUUUUUUUUCUCGGUAAGGCCAGGCCUGAAUUCCUUGAAUGAAAUGCUAUCAGUUUGUAUGGUCUGGAAUGAUGUCUUUGCGUUAGACUGCUGAUUAACACUGAUGUUAACUAAAAUCACUGACUGGAUUGCGACUACACGUCUCUUUGAUAUUAAAGCUGGAAUUAAUGUUAAUGGAGGCUUUUCUUUUGACACAGGUGAAGGUGAAUUGGAAGAGGCUAAGGUUUGUAUGUCCCACACCAUGCUCUUAUCUGUAAUGAAUGUGUUUAAUUCUAGACAAAUCGGAGUUAUUUGCCAUGUGUUUUUGUGAGAUGUAUAACUUUAAUAGGGUAAAAGGACAUUUUGUGGUUAAGCAAAAUUCUGUAUGUGUUUGAGUUUGUGCAUAAUAAAACAAAAUGGAUGUC